CCUUCGACGGUUCGAGUAGUUUGGGAAUGCUGCUCUAAAUGGGAGGUAAAUUUCUUCUAAAGCUAAAUAUGGCCAGAAACCGAUAGCGCACAAGUAGAGUGAUCGAAAGAUGAAAAGUACUUUGAAAAGAGGGUUAAACAGCACGUGAAAUUGUUGAAAGGGAAGCGUUUAUGACCAGACUUUUUCUAGGCGGAUCAUCCGGUGUUCUCACCGGUGCACUUUGCCUAGUCUAGGCCAGCAUCGGUUUCUGUAGGGGGAUAAAAUUGGUGGGAAUGUGGCUCCCUCGGGAGUGUAUAGCCCGCUAAAUAAUACCCUUCUGGGGACCGAGGUUCGCGCUCUGCAAGGAUGCUGGCGUAAUGGUCAUCAACGACCCGUCUUGAAACACGGACCAAGGAGUCGAACAUUUGUGCGAGUGUUUGGGUGUCAAACCCUCACGCGUAAUGAAAGUGAACGGAGGUGAGAGCCCUUACGGGUGCAUCAUCGACCGAUCCUGAAGUUUUCGGAUGGAUUUGAGUAAGAGCAUAACUGUUCGGACCCGAAAGAUGGUGAACUAUGCGUGGAUAGGGUGAAGCCAGAGGAAACUCUGGUGGAGGCUCGCAGCGGUUCUGACGUGCAAAUCGAUCGUCAAAUCUGCGCAUGGGGGCGAAAGUCUAAUCGAACCAUU
rnacentral:rRNA from 1 species